rnacentral:miRNA from 1 species
CGGAAUGGGGCUGGUGUCUUUAGGGCAAGGGCUGGUCUGCAAUUCCCUGAUAUCAGUGAUUCUCCUGCCGCCUUCAU